GUCAUUGCGGAUCGACUAAGGAAUGCAAAACAUGCUGAAUAUAUGCUUAUUCCAUACAAUCCAGAUUUCCACUGGGUCUUAGUGGCAUUGGAGAUGAAGAGAAUGAUUGCAUAUUACCUUGAUCCAAUGGCUUGUCAACCAUGUGAUGAUCUUAGGGAGAUAGUUAACAUUUGGCAGUGUUUUCAAUAUGGAUCAUCCAAUGGUUGCUCUAUUUUGAUGGAUGUGUAAUUGGCAAAUUGAGAGGUGAAGCCUAGUAGA